rnacentral:rRNA from 1 species
ACUUACGGCCAUACCAUCCUGAAUUCUCCCGAUCUCGUCUGAUCUCGGAAGCUAAGCAGGGUUGGGCCUGGUUAGUACUUGGAUGGGAGACCGCCUGGGUAUACCAGGUACUGUAAGUG